GAUGAAUGCUGGCGGCAUGCCUAAUACAUGCAAGUCGAGCGGUAACAUGAAUAGCUUGCUAUUUGAUGACGAGCGGCGGACGGCUGAGUAACGCGUGGGAACGUACCCCAAACUGAGGAAUAACGCACCGAAAGGUGUGCUAAUACCGCAUGUGAUCUACGGAUUAAAGCCUUCGGGCGGUUUGGGAAUGGCCUGCGUACGAUUAGAUAGUUGGUGAGGUAAAGGCUCAACCAAGCCGACGAUCUUUAGCUGGUCUGAGAGGAUGAUCAGCCACACUGGGACUGAGACACGGCCCAG
rnacentral:rRNA from 1 species